rnacentral:rRNA from 1 species
GGGGAAUAUUGCACAAUGGGCGAAAGCCUGAUGCAGCGACGCCGCGUGAGGGAUGACGGCCUUCGGGUUGUAAACCUCUUUCAGCAGGGAAGAAGCGAAAGUGACGGUACCUGCAGAAGAAGCACCGGCUAACUACGUGCCAGCAGCCGCGGUAAUACGUAGGGUGCGAGCGUUGUCCGGAAUUAUUGGGCGUAAAGAGCUUGUAGGCGGUUUGUCGCGUCUGCUGUGAAAAUCCGGGGCUCAACCCCGGACUUGCAGUGGGUACGGGCAGACUAGAGUGUGGUAGGGGAGACUGGAAUUCCUGGUGUAGCGGUGAAAUGCGCAGAUAUCAGGAGGAACACCGAUGGCGAAGGCAGGUCUCUGGGCCACUACUGACGCUGAGAAGCGAAAGCAUGGGGAGCGAACAGGAUUAGAUACCCUGGUAGUCCAUGCCGUAAACGUUGGGCGCUAGGUGUGGGACUCAUUCCACGAGUUCCGUGCCGCAGCUAACGCAUUAAGCGCCCCGCCUGGGGAGUACGGCCGCAAGGCUA